AAAAGCGCGGGCUCCCGGCUCUCCUCAGGGGACCCGCUGCCGCCGCUUCCGCCGCCGCCGAACCCGGCCCAGGUCGGUAGGGCUGAGGCAACGUGGCUGCUUCUCUUGACCAUGGUUUUUACAAAUGGUUUCCUUUUCCACUUACAGUUAUGACUAAGGAGGAUCUCGUUGGGAAGAGUUUGGAAUAGUUCCACCAUAGGUGCAUAUAUGAACCAGUGACUUCACAACCCCUCUGGUAAAACAGAGAAAACAAGGUACAGUAUGACCAUGACCAUGGCACUUCACCUGAAUCAAGUGCCAACGAUAUACUAAUUUUAAAGUGCCUUGUGUAGGACUAUGGAAGUAGCAGUCAAAGUAAGCACUAGACCACAUACUUUCCUAGGCAUACUGUAUUUUUCCAUCUAUAAGAUACCCCCAUGUAUAAGAUGCCCUCUAUUUUGGGGACUC